rnacentral:rRNA from 1 species
AUUGAACGCUGGCGGCAGGCCUAACACAUGCAAGUCGAGCGGAUGACGGGAGCUUGCUCCUUGAUUCAGCGGCGGACGGGUGAGUAUUGCCUAGGAAUCUGCCUGGUAGCGGGGGACAACGUUCCGAAAGGGGCGCUAAUACCGCAUACGUCCUACGGGAGAAAGUGGGGGAUCUUCGGACCUCAUGCUAUCAGAUGAGCCUAGGUCGUAUUGGCUAGUUGGUGAGGUAAAGGCUCACCAAGGCGACGAUCCGUAACUGGUCUGAGAGGAUGAUGAGCCACACUGACACUGAGGCUCGAUCCAGACCCGUACGGGAGGCAUGAGUGGGGAAUAUUGAACAAUGGGCGAAAGCCUGAUCCAGCCAUGCCGCGUGUGUGAAUAAGGGCUUCGGAUUGUAAAGCACUUUCAGUUGUGAGGAAGGGCAGUAAGUCACUACCUUGCUGUUUUGACGUUACCGACAAAAUAAGCACCGGCUAACUCCGUGCCAGCCGCCGCCGUAAUAC